UGGGGGAAUAUUGGGCAAUGGGCGCAAGCCUGACCCAGCAACGCCGCGUGAAGGAAGAAGGCUUUCGGGUUGUAAACUUCUUUUGUCAGGGACGAGUAGAAGACGGUACCUGACGAAUAAGCCACGGCUAACUACGUGCCAGCAGCCGCGGUAAUACGUAGGUGGCGAGCGUUGUCCGGAAUUACUGGGUGUAAAGGGAGUGUAGGCGGGAAUGCAAGUCAGAAGUGAAAACUAUGGGCUUAACCCAUAGCCUGCUUUUGAAACUGUAUUCUUGAGUGAAGCAGAGGCAAGCGGAAUUCCUAGUGUAGCGGUGAAAUGCGUAGAUAUUAGGAGGAACACCAGUGGCGAAGGCGGCUUGCUGGG
rnacentral:rRNA from 1 species